rnacentral:rRNA from 1 species
GCCUUCGGGUUGUAAACCUCUUUUAGUAGGGAAGAAGCGAAAGUGACGGUACCUGCAGAAAAAGCACCGGCUAACUACGUGCCAGCAGCCGCGGUAAUACGUAGGGUGCGAGCGUUGUCCGGAAUUAUUGGGCGUAAAGAGCUCGUAGGCGGUUUGUCACGUCUGCUGUGAAAACCCGAGGCUCAACCUCGGGCCUGCAGUGGGUACGGGCAGACUAGAGUGCGGUAGGGGAGAACGGAAUUCCUGGUGUAGCGGUGGAAUGCGCAGAUAUCAGGAGGAACACCGAUGGCGAAGGCAGUUCUCUGGGCCGUAACUGACGCUGAGGAGCGAAAGCGUGGGGAGCGAACAGGAUUAGAUACCCUGGUAGUCC